GAUGAAGAACGUAGCGAAAUGCGAUAAGUAAUGCGAAUUGCAGAAUUCAGUGAGUCAUCGAAUCUUUGAACGCACCUUGCGCCCCUUGGUUAUUCCAAAGGGCAUGCCUGUUUGAGUAUCAUGAACACCUCAACUCUUGUGGUUUCCCACAAUGAGCUUGGACUGUGGAGGUUUUGUUGGCCCUGUGGUCAGCUCCUCUCAAAUGGAUCAGCUUACCGGUGUUUGGUGGCAUUACGGGUGUGAUAACUAUCUACGCUCGUGGUCGUCUCCAAAUAACCUCCAGUGAUGGAGGUUCGCUGGAGCUUAUAAAUGUCUCUCCCCAGUGAAGACAGCCUUUGAACGUUCGAUCUCAAAUCAGGUAGGACUACCCGCUGAACUUAAGCAUAUCAAUAAGCGGAGGA
rnacentral:misc_RNA from 1 species